rnacentral:rRNA from 1 species
CCCUUAGAUGUUCUGGGCUGCACGCGCGCUACACUGAUGCACUCAACGAGUUUACGACCUUGCCCGAUAGGGUUGGGUAAUCUUUUUAAAAUGCAUCGUGAUGGGGAUAGAUUAUUGCAAUUAUUAAUCUUCAACGAGGAAUUCCUAGUAAGCGCGAGUCAUCAGCUCGUGCUGAUUACGUCCCUGCCCUUUGUACACACCGCCCGUCGCUCCUACCGAUUGAGUGCUCAGGUGAAUAAUUCGGACUGCAGCAAUGUUUGGAUCCCGAACGUUGCAGCGGAAAGUUUAGUGAACCGUAUCACUUAGAGGAAGGAGAAGUCGUAACA